rnacentral:rRNA from 1 species
CCUACGGUGCAGCAGUGGGGAAUAUUGGACAAUGGGCGAAAGCCUGAUCCAGCCAUGCCGCGUGUGUGAAGAAGGCCUUCGGGUUGUAAAGCACUUUCAGUGGGGAAGAAAGCCUUGGGGCUAAUACCCUCGAGGAAGGACAUCACCCACAGAAGAAGCACCGGCUAACUCCGUGCCAGCAGCCGCGGUAAUACGGAGGGUGCGAGCGUUAAUCGGAAUUACUGGGCGUAAAGCGCGCGUAGGCGGUCUGAUAAGCCGGUUGUGAAAGCCCCGGGCUCAACCUGGGAACGGCAUCCGGAACUGUCAGGCUAGAGUGCAGGAGAGGAAGGUAGAAUUCCCGGUGUAGCGGUGAAAUGCGUAGAGAUCGGGAGGAAUACCAGUGGCGAAGGCGGCCUUCUGGACUGACACUGACGCUGAGGUGCGAAAGCGUGGGUAGCAAACAGGAUUAGAUACCCCAGUAGUC